AAAAAAAUGUCAAAGUUCCUUAAAAACCGACUUGGUGAUAUAUCAGCUGCUCAACUUCUAGAUAAAGACAAUCCUGGUGCUGGACCUGACGGGAAUGAUGAAAAAACAUGUUGGAAGAAGAACCCACCUGAAAUGUUGCCAAUUCACGGAGUUUGGCACAAUGGUGGAGGCCGGAGACUUGUGGUGAUGACCCAGAGAGACCAAAAAAGGUGAUGACGUAGAGAGGCUGC
rnacentral:misc_RNA from 1 species